rnacentral:rRNA from 1 species
AUUGAACGCUGGCGGCAUGCCUUACACAUGCAAGUCGAACGGCAGCGGGGGAGAAGCUUGCUUUUCCUGCCGGCGAGUGGCGAACGGGUGAGUAAUACAUCGGAACGUGCCCUGUAGUGGGGGAUAACUAGUCGAAAGAUUAGCUAAUACCGCAUACGACCUGAGGGUGAAAGUGGGGGACCGCAAGGCCUCAUGCUAUAGGAGCGGCCGAUGUCUGAUUAGCUAGUUGGUGGGGUAAAGGCCUACCAAGGCGACGAUCAGUAGCUGGUCUGAGAGGACGAUCAGCCACACUGGGACUGAGACACGGCCCAGACUCCUACGGGAGGCAGCAGUGGGGAAUUUUGGACAAUGGGCGAAAGCCUGAUCCAGCAAUGCCGCGUGUGUGAAGAAGGCCUUCGGGUUGUAAAGCACUUUUGUCCGGAAAGAAAUGGCUCUGGCUAAUACCUGGGGUCGAUGACGGUACCGGAAGAAUAAGGACCGGCUAACUACGUGCCAGCAGCCGCAGUAA